rnacentral:rRNA from 1 species
AAUAGAUACCCUGGUAGUCCUAGCCGUAAACGAUGAGCACUGGGUUGAAGGGUCCUCCAUAGCCUUUCAGCCGUAGCGAAAGUGUUAAGUGCUCCGCCUGGGGAGUAUGGUCGCAAGGCUGAAACUCAAAGAAAUUGACGGGGGCUCACACAAGCGGUGGAGGAUGUGACUUAAUUCGAGGCUACGCGAAGAACCUUAUCCUAGUCUUGACAUGCACGGAUUAACUCCCUGAAAGGGGAGCCACGCCUUCGGGUGGAACGUGCACAGGUGCUGCAUGGCUGUCGUCAGCUCGUGCUGUGAAGUGUCGGGUUAAGUCCCUUAACGAGCGAAACCCUUGUCGCUAGUUGCCAGCGAGUCAUGUCGGGGACUCUAGCGAGACCGCCGGUGUUAAACCGGAGGAAGGUGGGGAUGACGUCAAGUCCUCAUGGCCUUUAUGACUAGGGCUGCACACGUCCUACAAUGGCAUGCACAAAGGGACGCAAAGUCGCGAGACCAAGCAAAAUCCCAAAAAACAUGCCCCAGUUCGGAUUGCA